rnacentral:rRNA from 1 species
UACACAUGCAAGUCUGGGGAUGGCAACAUCACCGGCGUACGGGUGCGUAACGCGUAGAUAAUCUGCCUCUAUCUCCGGAAUAACAGUUCUAACGGAUUGCUAAGAACGGAUGAGGCCCGAGUGGUCAAAUGCAAAGGAUAGAGAUGAGUCUGCGUCUGAUUAGCUAGUUGGAAGGGUAAAAGCCUCCCAAGGCGACGAUCAGUAGCUGGUCUGAGAGGAUGAACAGCCACACUGGAACUGAGACACGGUCCAGACUCCUACGGGAGGCAGCAGUGAGGAAUAUUGGUCAAUGGGCGCAAGCCUGAACCAGCAAUGCCGCGUGUAGGACGAAGGGGCUUCGCCCUGUAAACUACUGUCAGAUGGGUUGAAAAGGAAGCAAGGCUUCUGGAGACGGUACCAUCAGAGGAAGGGACGGCUAACUACGUGCCAGCAGCCGCGGUAAUACGUAGGUCCCGAGCGUUGUCCGGAUUUACUGGGUAUAAAGGGUGCGUAGGCGGUUUUGUGCGUCAGAGGUGAAAGGUCAGUGCUUAACAUUGAUACUGCCUUUGAAACGGCGGAACUUGAGUAUGAGAGAGGUUUGUAGAAUUCCUGGUGUAGCGGUGAAAUGCGUAGAUAUCAGGAGGAAUACCGGUGGCGAAGGCGGCAAACUGGCUCAUAACUGACGCUGAGGCACGAAAGCGUGGGGAUCAAACAGGAUUAGAUACCCUGGUAGUCCACGCCUUAAACGAUGUAUGCUUGGUGUUGGUGCAGUGAUGCAUCAGUGCCGUAGGAAAUCUGAUAAGCAUACCACCUGGGGAGUACGAUCGCAAGGUUGAAACUCAAAGGAAUUGACGGGGGCCCGCACAAGCGGUGGAUCAUGUGGUUUAAUUCGAUGCAACGCGAAGAACCUUACCCGGGCUCGAAGUGCUAGUAGUAAAGAGAUGAAAGUCGACUGAACCGUUAAGCCGGUUGCUAGUAGAGGUGCUGCAUGGCUGUCGUCAGCUC